CCUCAAGCAGCCUGCCACCCUGCCAUCUUCAGAAUUGUAGAUGAAAUGUUCAGGUUUGUGCUGCUGGAGACUGACGGAGCCCCAGAAGUGAUAGCUGCUCUUCAGGUAUUCACCUGGUGCAUGGCAGAAGCUCUGGGAAAAGAGAACAAGCAGAUGAAGUUUUCCCUCAAGACCUACUUCCCUUACGGUGCUCCAGCUCUCACUGCAGUGCUGUCCCAGCACCCUGAAGCUAUCCCACAGAGACACCAGCUCCAGCCUCUGCUGCACAUUUCCCAACUCCUCAGAGAAGCAGUUGAAGACCCUACUCAUGGGUCCCAGCAAACUCCCUUCGAGAGCUGGUUUUUGUUCAUUCACUUUGGAGGAUGGGUUGAUCUGGCCGUGCAGCAGUUGCUGAGGACAGAAGCUGAGCCCCCUGAAGGCCUGCUGUGGCUCUUGGCAUUCUAUUACAGCCCACAGGAUGGGAGUCAGCAGAGAGUGCAGACCAUGGUGGAGCUGAAGGCAUUGCUUAGCCAUCUGCUGAUGCUGCUCCGAGGUGAGCGUCUGUCAGCUGUCGAUGUGCAGAAAGCAGCCCCCAGAGCACCCAUAUGCGGGCAGCUGGUCAGGCGCCUUCUUCUUAGCCUCUUGCUCUGGACCCCGGAAGGCCAUCCGAUUGCCAGGGAAGCUGUCACCCAUGGCCCACAACAAAGGAGGGUGAAGGAAUUGGACAUCUUCCUUCUCCAAGGAAGAUGUGUGGCUGCUCAGAGGCACCCGGGAGACGCAUGCCCGUGGCACGGCUGUCACCAUACACACCUCAGAGGCACCCGGGAGAUGCAUGCCCAUGGCACUGCAGUUACCACACUUCAGAGGCACCGGGAAGAUACAUGCCCAUGGCAUGGCUGUCACCACACACUCCUAGACAGCUGGUUACUGCAGAACAUGUGAGGCAGUCCUGAGAAUCAGAGUGGCAUUUUCAGGUGUUUCCAGUAGGGAAUGCCACUGCUCAAAAGAAAGUCUAACUGUGGGGCAUGGUGGCCCUGCCCCCAGGUCUUUCCCCAAAGAACUGAUAGUAGAGGCUUAAACAGGUAUCCGUGUAACAGAAUUUUCAGCUGUUGACAGCAGCAAGAAGGAAUGCGUGACUGGAUAAACAUAGGUGCCUGUGCAGACAUACCAUGGAGUAAGUACCCUUUGGCCAUGGGAAGGAAGGCAUUUCUGCCACCUGUGACACUGAUGGACCCCGAAGGCUUUGUGCUAUGUGAAAUCAGCCAGUUGGAAGGAAACUCUUAGAGGAGUCCACCUAUCUGAGUCUGCUUCACAGGUAUGAGGAGUUGGUGUUUAACCUGUGCAGACUGUCUGGAGAUGGGUGGUGAUGGUCGUACAACAUUGUGAAUGCAGGAGUGCAGGCCUGGAAUCCCAGCAUGUGAGAGGCAGAAGCCGGAGGAUCAGGAGUACAGGGUCAUCCUCAGCCACACAGUGAGCUGGAGGCCAGCCUGAGCUACACGAGAUACUGUCUCAAAAGAAACCAAAAAGGUGAAACACAUUGCUGACUACAGGAGUUUUAUUUUCAGGUUUUUUUUUGAAUUAUUAACAUAUUGUGACAUACACAGCUUGAUGAAGUUUUAUACACAAAAUAAAAAAAAAGAACUCAUGCAGCCAGCAACCCAAUCAAGAAAGGGCUUUUCCUUGUCCACUUGGGUCUCAGUCUGAAUGUGAACACUAGAAGAGUCCAGGAGGUAGCUGCCUCCCUGCCAAAGCCCUCUGCCCAUCUGACAGCAGCCACCUGUGUCAGUGCAGAGGCUAACCCUCUCCUGCCCUGGGGCACCUCAAGGCCCAGCACAAUAAUUCACUCAGAAAUCUACGGAGUAUGAUCCUAAAACACAUGCCUCAAGAGCAUGCAAAGCAGAAUGUGGCGCUGAGGAACAGAGGCUGUCACCAAGCUGGAUGCUGCCUCAUCACACUUCACCUAGCAUGUUCCGCAUGCGGCAUCUUGGACAAAAGGUCCAGUAUCGCAGCCACAAGUAGAUCUUGACUCCGUGAUUCCACUUGAAAGUUUCCCAGCUACACCUGAAGUGUUCUGCAUAGAGUUCAAGGCAAUGCUGUGUUAAUCAGAUUGACUGGGAAUCACUUCACAGUGUGGACAGCAGAAUUAUCACCAGGAAACAAACGGCAGCACGUAGUCCACUUGAGACAGGAGAACUCCAUAUGGCCUGCAGUCACCAGCCAACUUCCCUGGCAGGCCUGUUGCAGUAGCUCCGUCAGCUUCCGGGGGCGGGAAGACAGGCUAGCAUGUACACCUCAUGUCACGUGGUGAGAGGGACUCUUUGUGUGGUCUCUUGGAUUUCUUCUCUUAUUGAUAUGAUAAAACACCCAGAGGAAAGCAACUGGGGAGGCUCUUUACUCUGGCUCACAGUCCAUCAUGAUGGGGACGUCACAGCAGCAGGAGCUUGAGGUGGCAGGUCACACUGCAUCCUUAUGCAAAAGCAGAACUCCACCAAUGUCUAUACUCGCCUAAGUUAACCGCUUUAUUCAGUCUAGGACCCCAGCUCGUGCAAUGGCACCACUCAGGUUUACAAUGGGCCUUUCCCACUUGAUUAAACUUAAUGUAUACAACUGGUCACUGGCGGCUUAAAUCCCACUUACCAUCAGCUGCCACACACAAAACAGCAAAACGAUAGUCCAGGUCUCAUCAGAGGAAAAACAUGAGACACAACCCAGGUUAGGGACAUUGCACAGAACUUCUGGUCCUCUUCAAGGUAGUCGGAAGGAGACUCUGAGGAACCUUCACAAUCAAGAGUGAGAGGAGCAGGAUGGUGGACUGUGCUGUGCCCUGGAUGAGAUUCUGGAGAGCGCAGGACAGAGAAGACUUGGAAGUCAGAAUGAAGUGUGGGCCUCACUGAGUGACAGGGACACAGCAUGGACAGAUGGCUGGGACUUUUCCAACUGUGCUACCUCUGUAGUGACGCCAACUCUGCUGCUGUUGACAGUAGGGGCUUCUGAACUAUGGAAGUGUGAGUCUGACCUCUUUGUAAAUGCUCACUACAUCUGUGGACAGAGUCAGCCUGCUGCUGGGACAUGUCUUCCAGGGCCACAUGGUCCCCGCUCUUUCUCAGUUGUCACCCUCACCUACUACAGUGGCUUAGGUCCUGCCUAAGAUGUGAGGAAAGGACCCCAGCAAAACCUCCUGAAGACAGCAGCUCUCCAUAUUCAAGACAGGUCGCAUUGCUCACUCAUGCCAAGACUUCUGAGAGGGGAAGUCCUGCACUGUACAGCACACACCCACUAAUGGGGCCUGUCCCAGCCACUCACUAACUGUGCUAAUCUACACCUGGCAUUGCAGCAUCACAGAAACCCAGAUGGCCCACACGGAUGCUGUAACCCAUGAGAUUGUUGGCUUUCUUGACCAGACUUUGUACAGAUUGGAUCAUCUUUGUGUCGAAGCCUCAAGAAAACUGGCGAGAGAGCUCCUUCAGGAGCUUGGAGCUC